AAGGUACAGUAGGUGAUUGCUUGAGCGUUUCGCUUAAGAGGAAAGUCCGGGCUGCAUGUGAGACAUGGUUCCGUCUAACGGACGGCUAGGGUAACCUAAGGGAUUAGUGCAACAGAGAGUAAACUACCAUUAUGCCUCUCUUGCGAAAGCAUAGCUUUAGUGAGAGGAAUUGGUGACGAGCUUUGCUUGUCUCCAAGAAGACAGUUUAAUGGAAAAGGUGAAACGGUGGGGUAAGAGCCCACCAGUGCUUUAAGUAAUUAAGGCAGCUAUGUAAACCCAACCUGCAGCAAGAAGGGAUGGUUUUGGUCUCACACACGAUAAACCCUUCGCUAGAGGUCUAUCGUAAGAUAGAUCGUAGAUAAAUAAUCACCCACGACAGAACCCGGCUUAUCGCUGUACCUUUUGU
rfam:Sulfurospirillum sp. SCADC contig_10, whole genome shotgun sequence.